GUGCCCUGGGACCUUGCAGAUGCCACAGGUUCUGGCUGGAGAGUGCUCAAGGGCAGGUCAAGCAGGAGGCCCCGUGUCCCCUCCACCUGGAGCCUUUGGGAUUGGGGGUGACCCUGACAUAUCAGAUGUGCCUGGUGCUUCAUAUCCCAGAAUCCAAGGAUACCCACCUCCAGCUGGUAGGCACUUUAUUCUCUAAGAAGUUUGGACCUGAUAAUUACAGUGGUGGUAAUUACAACCCACUUCUGCCUGUGCAGAGUGCUUCUGAGGAGCUGAGCGUCCUUCAUAAACACAAGCUCAUUCAUCCACCUAGCAGCCCUACAGUGCAGGACAGCCUGGGCUCCUGACUACUCACUGACAAACCCUGCAGAGAUACCAGUCGGCCAUUGCACUCUCGGAUUCAGCCUGAAGCUGACUUUCCUGACCUGAAGAAAUCAGAAAAAGAAGAACCUCGUUUAUUAUAUUUUGUUACCUGGUGUCAACGGUAGAGGACUGAGGAGAACAUGUAUGUCUUGGGAAUCAUACAGACCUUUGUUCAAAAACUCUAGCUCCUGGUCACAUUCUUGUGUUCCCAGCACUCAGCCAGGAUC